AUGACGGGCAUGUUCAGGCUGGGAGUGGAUUGCACUGUCAAGGAUCGGCAGAAAAGGCCGUCCAAGAAGAUGGCUCUCAAACGUCUCAACCGCUACGGUGGGCGUGCCCUAUUCCAUGGCCUCCCCACCUGCUAUCCACUGUACAUCACCAGUGAGGAUGUAGGCAAAUCGAAUGAGAAAGUGGCAUGUGAGCUCAGCUCAGCUGAUGAACUGCCAUUGGCAGAGUUUAUGUUCAGUGGUACGUUGAAGGAUGAUCCAGGAGAUCAGAUGGGGGACUCUGCUUUCUUGCUUUGUUUGGCAAGAAAAGUUUGA
rnacentral:rRNA from 1 species